GAGACACCUAGGAUGCCACAUAGGAAAUUCAGUUCACAGAAUUAUGUCACGUGUCCAAGUGGAAACUCUAUCUCUACAGAAACAACACGUGUCCUCAUAUGUGCUUCGUUGGACUUCGGUUAUCAAAGGGAAAGGCCCAUCUUCCGGUGAGAUGCUAACCCUAGAUUGCGAUCUCUGGAGGUCGUCACCUCCGCACCGGCGUGACGUUUCCUGUACCUUCCGCAUAAAAACGAUUCAGCCUUUACUCCCAUUGAUUGGUACCUCCACUAUGUGUCUUCAAUGCGAUCCUUGCGUCUCAGAGGCGGUGGGUUUCUGCGUAUAAAUAGAGACCUCAAGUCCGGCAAGUGCUCAUCCGCUGUUGAAGCUCGGCUUCUGCGGUUCUGGGAGGCGAAAAAUGUCAAACGCGGUGGGGAGCUGAUGUGGGUCGACUUGCUCUUGAUUGACGUCAACUCGACAAUGAUGCAGGCCACCAUCUAUGCUAACCGCCUUUCAAGGUUCCGUUCCAAACUCGCCGCCGGGACGAUGUUCACCAUCUCUGGAUUUGAUGUGACUCGAUGUGCUCAGAAUUUCAGACUUACCGACUCUCCUCUGAUGAUCCGGUUCAAUGAUUCCACCGCCUUUGAUGAGCUAACCAAGCCGGUUAGUCCAUUACCUGAAGAAGGAUUCCGGUUCCGUGAUCACUCCGAAUUGAUUGGUCUAGCCAACACGAAUGCACAUCUACCAGACAUUGUAGGUGAGAUCACUGCAGUGAAGAUUAAUGUGAGUGGUACUCCUGGAGAAAAGAGUCGACUCAUGGCAACCAUCAAACUGGAUAAGGAUUCAACGGUCACCUUAAGUCUCUUUGAAAGUCAAGCUGAGACUUUUCACAAAAGGCUUGAGGAUAUGCAUGGUGACCCCAAAGUUGUUGUUGCAACCAGCAUUAAUCCAAAGAUGAUUGGAGGUGGUUUGUUCUUAAAUGCAACAUCUGGAACACAUGUCUACUUUGACAAGGAGACUAAGGCAGGGGAGUACUACUUCUAUAAAUUGGUCGCUAGGGACAAUGGAGUCUCAUCUGCUGCACCAUUGCUGAAAGGAUAUGCAAAGGUGGAGACCUUGACCAUAUCGGAACUUACAAGUUUUGUCGCCUCUGCUCAACCACAGGACAUUGACUUUGUCUGCACCGGGAAAGUGGUUCGACUGGACGUGGACAAGGGAUGGUGUUACGUUGCAUGCGCUAAAUGCAGUAAAAAAUUGCAGCGUACAGUCUCUGCUUUGGAGUGUUUGCGAUGUAAUAAUCCCAAUGCUGUCGGAGUUCUUCGUUACCGUCUGGAGUUGGCAAUCGCUGAUAGCACUGCUGAAGGUACAUUCGUGUGUUUUGAUGGUGUGAUGACUAAGCUGCAUAAUCUCCGAGCAAGUGAGGCCGGUCAGAUGUUGGCGGCAGAAGGAGAGAAUCCCGUGGGUGCCACCGUUUAUCAAUGACAUGGAAGGAAAAACCCUCACCUUCCAGGUCAGAGUUAGCGCGUUUAACUUCACUGCAUAUCAUCAGACUUUUACCAUCACCCGCAUCCUUAAGGAGCACGAGCGUGUUCCAGCUCCUGAUUUUAUCGGAGGAAACGAUGAGGAUGAUAAUAACCUUGGAGAUGGUGGUUAUGUUCCAGCCCGCGUUGAAUCUGGAGGAGACAGCAGUGGUGAAGAUAAGAAUGCUGAUGGGCCUCCAGUCGAUAAUGCGGUGGAGAAGAUUGCCCGCUCAUCUGCCAGUGCAGCCAAGAAAGCUCGUGUUAUUUGAAUUUGAGUACCAGCGGUUAUGGUUUCAUGUUUCGAGUUGGAAAAUUUCUUAGUUCUACGUUCGUGGCUUUUAUUGUCUUUGUUUCGGUUUGCUUAUUACGCUUCAUCUAAAACUAUGUUUCCGUCAGUUUGAUGUUAAUAAAUAACUAUUUUUAAUCA